GGGGUCGACUGGUUUUGACAGCAUGUUUAAUGAUUAAGUAAGCAGGUCGAGCGUUGAUACAUUAGCUCGUAAAUAACAUGUCUCACACUUUUAAAUGGCGAAAACAAUUACGCUCUGGCUGCAUAAUAACUGAAUUAAAGUAGGUUAUUGCCAAGUUCUGACUAGGUCAGAAAGCUGGAUGUCUCAUAAUAGCCCUUGUUGACGGCGAUUAAUUUAGAGGCACCAUAAAGGUCAACAUCGAAAAACGAACGCAUUUUUCGUUUUUUUCAACUUUAAUAUGCUAAGCUUAUUGUAGCCUGUUUUUGUACGGCAAUAAGUCUAAAAUUAUACAAAAACUAAGCUUGUAGAACGCUUUUUUAUGGCGUGUUUGGACGAGGGUUCGAUUCCCUCCGACUCCACA
rnacentral:tmRNA from 1 species